AGCAGUGUGGCAUAGUGGUAAGGCGCAGGGCUCAUAACCGAAAGGUUCCUGGUUUGAGUACCUGCUGGGGCAUUGCUG
rnacentral:tRNA from 1 species